GCCUGGGUGGCUCAGUCGGUUGAGCAUCCGACUUCGGCUCAGGUCACGAUCUCGCAGUCCGUGAGUUCGAGCCCCGCGUCAGGCU
rfam:Felis catus isolate Cinnamon breed Abyssinian chromosome A2, whole genome shotgun sequence.